rnacentral:rRNA from 1 species
UCGCACGAGCGCACCCCUAUUGUUAGUUGCCAUCAUUAAGUUGGGCACUCUAGCGAGACUGCCGGUAAUAAACCGGAGGAAGGUGGGGAUGACGUCAAAUCAUCAUGCCCCUUAUGACCUGGGCUACACACGUGCUACAAUGGUUGGUACAACGAGUCGCGAGUCGGUGACGGCAAGCAAAUCUCUUAAAGCCAAUCUCAGUUCGGAUUGUAGGCUGCAACUCGCCUACAUGAAGUCGGAAUCGCUAGUAAUCGCGGAUCAGCACGCCGCGGUGAAUACGUUCCCGGGCCUUGUACACACCGCCCGU